rnacentral:pre_miRNA from 1 species
AAUAAGUGUAGUUUUAUACUAUUCACGUUCAAUGUUUGAUCGUUCGUCUUAUUUGAAAAUUUUUUAUGAUUAGUAUUUUUAUUGCUAUUAGAUGAUAAAAUAUGAAUAAUACUUUAUGUGUGACUAAUUUUUUUUAUUUUUUUCACAAAUUUUUCAAAUAAGACGGACGGUCAAAUGUUAGACACGGAUAUUCACGGCUGCACUUAUU